rnacentral:rRNA from 1 species
AUUGAACGCUGGCGGAAUGCUUUACACAUGCAAGUCGAGCGGCAGCGCGGGGCAACCUGGCGGCGAGCGGCGAACGGGUGAGUAAUGCAUCGGAACAUGUCCAUGUCGUGGGGGAUAGCCCGGCGAAAGCCGGAUUAAUACCGCAUACGCCCGAGAGGGGAAAGUGGGGACCGCAAGGCCUCACGCGAUUGGGUUGGCCGAUGUCCGAUUAGCUAGUUGGCGGGGUAAGAGCCCACCAAGGCGAUGAUCGGUAGCUGGUCUGAGAGGAUGGUCAGCCACACUGGGACUGAGACACGGCCCAGACUCCUACGGGAGGCAGCAGUGGGGAAUUUUGGACAAUGGGGCAACCCUGAUCCAGCCAUUCCGCGUGAGUGAAGAAGGCC